UACGUAGGGUGCGAGCGUUGUCCGGAAUUACUGGGCGUAAAGAGCUCGUAGGUGGUUUGUCGCGUUGUUCGUGAAAACUCACAACUCAAUUGUGGGCGUGCGGGCGAUACGGGCAGACUGGAGUACUGCAGGGGAGACUGGAAUUCCUGGUGUAGCGGUGAAAUGCGUAGAUAUCUGGAGGAACACCGGUGGCGAAGGCGGCAUCCUGGACCGAUACUGACGCUGAGGAGCGAAAGCGUGGGGAGCGAACAGG
rnacentral:rRNA from 1 species